GGAACCUCACAUCUCUCAGACCUCAGUUCCAGCAGGACCAGCAAGACCCAGCAGUGGGGACGCCUCACCUGCAGACCCCAAAGUGUACUCCAGGAAACUUAGUCCUACAGGACUUCAGUGCAAUGCUAGCAGGGGCUCUUCUGGGAUGUCUCCACCAAUAACCCGAAGAGGCUUUGAGAUGGAUGUUCAAGCUGAGCUCA